rnacentral:rRNA from 1 species
UACAGAGGGGGCAAGCGUUGUUCGGAAUUACUGGGCGUAAAGGGCGCGUAGGCGGCCUUCUAAGUCGAACGUGAAAUCCCCGGGCUCAACCCGGGAACUGCGUCCGAUACUGGAAGGCUUGAAUCCGGGAGAGGGAUGCGGAAUUCCAGGUGUAGCGGUGAAAUGCGUAGAUAUCAGGAGGAACACCGGUGGCGAAGGCGGCUUUCUGGACAGAUACCGACGCUGAGGCACGAAAGCUAGGGGAGCAAACAGG